rnacentral:lncRNA from 1 species
UGUGUGUGUGUGUGUGUGUGUAUUUUUUUUUUUCCCAGCAUGGAAGACUGUGUUUGACCAUUUCUCCAAAUAUAUAACCUUAUUGAAAGGACAAACAAAAAUAACUAGUGCAGAUAGUGUUUUGAUUUCCAUAUCAUUAGCCAGAUUUUUAUACUUGUGGUUAGUCUUAGAGUAUGUAUCAUUGCCAAGUAAAAUAUAUAUUACUUGUUAAUAUAAAAAAAACGAGUGACAACUUUAGUAUUAGUAUAUUUUAGUCAAUUAAGUUGAAAGUCUAUAAAUAGGUAUAGCAAAUUGAAUGGUGACCCCUCCAAAAGACAUGGACCCUCAAAAUGUAACCUUAUUUGGAAUAAGGGUCUUUUUAUUUAGGACUGCACUCGCAGCAUAGAGAUUCCCAGGCUAGGGUCCUAAUCGGAGCUGUAGCUGCCAGCCUAUGCCACAGCUCACUGCAAUGCCAGAUCUUUAACCCACGAAGUGAGGCCAGGGAUUGAAACUGUAUCCUCAUGGAUGCUAGUCAGAUUAGUCUUGGCUGAGCCACAACAGGAACUCUAUUUGCUGUUAGGAUAAGGAUUUCAAAAUGGGAUUAUUUUAGAUUAGGGUGGGCCCUAAAUCCAAUGACAAGUACUUCUGUAAAAGACAAAAAGAAGACAAAGAAAGGCUUGUGAAGAAGGAAGCAGAGAUUGGAAUGUUACCUGUAAAACCAAAGGAUAUCAGAAUUUCCAGCAGUCACCAGAAGUUGGAAGAUGCAAAUCCUCAUCUCCUAGAUCCUUUGGAACCUUGUUAAUGCCUUGGUUUUGGACUUUUGGCUUUCAGAACUGUGAGAAAAUAGAUUUCCAUUGUCUCAAGGUCCUUAGCUUGUGGUAAUUUGUUACAACUGCCCUAGGAAACUGGUAUGAUGAGCUAAAUAAAUCCAUCAUCUGGUGAUGUAUUGACUGAGUGAAUGGCUUUGACUUUAUAACUCCCACACCUGACAUCGUAACACCCUCACCUUACUUCCGUCCGUAACAUCUUCUGAUCCUGUCUCUGCAAGUGAGAGGCACACAUGUAGGCACAAGAGGCAAGACACAUGCACAUGGAUAAACAUUGAGAAGACAGUAGAAAGUGGACAAGUAGCAAUGAUACUGCCAAGAAUGAGGAAAUUGGCAGGAAAAGAGAAAAGCAAAGAUUGUGAAGAUGGCUUUUGAAAUUGUAAGGACACAGGUUUAAAGAAACAAAGAUCUGGGAGUUCCCAUGGGUGGCUCAGCAUUAACGAAUCUGACUAGUAUCCUUGAAGAUGUGGCUUCCAUCCCUGGCCCUGCUGAAUGGAUUAAGAAUCUGGUGUUGCCUCAAGCUGUGGUGUAGGUUGCAGACAUAGCUAUAGCUCUAAUUCGACCCCUCUCCUGGGAAUUUCCAUAUGCCAAGGGUUUGGCCCUAAAAAAAAAUGAAACGAACAAACAAACAGAUCUAAAAUAGCUGUGUUUAUAAAGAGUCAUGACCUUGGUUUAUGAUAUUCUCAAUAUACACACAAAAAAAUAGUAAAUAGCCUUUACCCUUGAAUUCCACAAUCAGAGUUUAACCCAAGGGCUCUGAGGUAAUUGAAAUUAGGACAUUUCGUUUUGUUAUUAUACCUAUAUUGACCUCUGAGAGUGUGUGAGUGCAUGUGUGACUGAGACAUGGGUUGGGAAGCACAUUCUUACCUUCUAGGUUGUCUGUUUCACAACCAAAGUGUGGAUAGGGCAAUAGUCAUUGGUCUCCGUGGAUGAAUACCUGUGUGAUUAGUUCUAUGCAGGUUCCAAUCCAUUGCCAAAGCUGCCUGAUCCAGCAGGGUGUGAAAAUUAUUGAUAUAUUAGGUGUGUGAAAGAAAUGGGUGGCUUUUAAAUAGUUUGCUCCAUCUGUGUCACUAAUAUGGGUAUUUCCACUCUGUAGCCCCACAAAUCUAUAUUCAAAUUCAAUGACAAACUUUUUAAAAAACAUAACUCAUCAAGUUUUAGUGCUGCUUAAGACAAGGACCCUGCCUGUGUAAGGCCAUCAAGCACUAAUAUUGACUCUGCAGGACAUUUUAAAGGCUAUUUAUAUCACAAUAAAGGUGCUUUAUUAGCCUCAUCAAUCAGGAGACUGCAAAUUCCACCCUGGAAUCAGCUCUGCCUGAACCCGUGGAACAGGGAAGGGUGAGAAAUUAUGGGAUGCAUUAUCUUCAAUCUCAUUUGAAACUUCCUAAUUGAAACAAUGGACGAGUUUAUUGCUUAUAAAAUAAAUGAAGGAGGCACCACUAAUGUAAUAAUGAGAGUUUAGGCUUCUGGUUGUUUUUCCCCUACUCGACAGAGAGUUGGUGGUCAGCCAGCAGAGUGAUUCCUGGUUUCCAUAGCUAGAGACACAAUGCAUCUGUCAUUUGACCAAGACGAAUGGACUGGCCAUGCAGUAGGGCUGCACCCAGCUUAUAGCACAGGCCUUGACUAGUAGUUCCUGUCAUCUGUGUCUUGGCAAGUAAUACUCUUUUUCCCUGGGUCAAGGAAAUGCUGCCUCAUAGCAGUUAACAGCUCAGUCUCAGGAGUCAGACAAGAUUGGAUUCAAAUUCCACCUGACUUAUUUGAACUUGAUUUUUUUCCUCAACUGAAAAACAGGGGACCUAUAUCUUAGGGUUGUUGUGAGAAGUGGCAUAGUUAAUUCCCAGUGCAUGGCAAGCACUCAGUAAAUGCUUUCUAUUUACAUUGUUGGUUUUGACAGGUUAUAACUUCUGGUUUGAUAUAAGAAGAUGCAGUUGAUGGUGAUGUUUGUAAGAUUAAGAAUGCCAGUUUUAGUGUCAGAGUCAGAUUUAAACUCUGCCAUUUAUGACCUGUGAAUUCUUGAAAAAUAAACUUACUUUCUCUGGCUUUUAGCCCCCUAAACUGUAAAUGAUUAUGAACAUAAUCAUGCCACCCCCUCCAAGCUGUUGUAAAGACCAAAUGAAAAAUUGAAUGCUUUCCAUAUUCUUGCAGUAUCUUAUGUACCAUGAAUAUAUCAUUGAAAACACUUUAUAUGAUUAUUGAAAGCCCGGUAAAAUUUUAGAAAUAAAUAUCUAUGUGUAUGCGCAGAGAAUUAUGAAUUUCAUAGAUUUUGUACAUUUACUUAACAAAUAUUUGUUGAGUACCUCCUACAGCUAGACAAUGGCGAUACAGAGAACAAGACAGUAAAAUCUAUGCUCAUAGAUCCUAUAAUUAAAUGGGAAAGAUAGACUCAUGCUCUUCUUAUAAAAUGUACUUGAAAGAGAUAUAUGAAAACAGAGUUACUGGGUGAUGGGAAGAGGUUAUUGGUCAACACAGGCCCCUCUGAAAUGAUAGUGUGAACUAGGAAAGAGUAAGCCAUGCCAAUAGAGGAGGGUGGCCACAUUUUAAGCAAAGGGAAAUGCAAUUGCAAAGGCUCUGAGACAGAAACUUGCCUGAGAAGGAAGAUGAGGGUGUCUAGAGCAUGGUGUACAAGGACGGAUUGACAGAAUAUGAAGUCUAAGAGGCAGAGUCAAGAUCGUGAAAGAGCUUUUUAGAUCAUGUUGAGAGUUUGGAUUUUAUGCUAAAUUGCACUGAAAAGGCAUCAGAAGAUUUUUAAAGCUGGUGUGGAUGAUUAUGAGUUCCCUUUAUAAAGAUAAUUCUGGCAGUUGGGAAGACAGAGAUGCUGGUAGCUUAUACUAGGAUUACAGAAAUGUGUACUAGGACAGUUGCUGUAGAGAGGAAGGGAAGGGAAAUAUAUGGAAUGUAUUUGGGGAGUAGGAGUGCUGAUGAAUUUCACAAAGAAGGUUUUUGCUUUUGUUUUUAAGAAAUCAAGGAUGGCUUGAAAAUAAGUUGUUCUAGAAAUGUGUGUCUUUUUUUUUUUUUUUUAAAGCAGUAUUGGCCCCUCUCUUAAUCAGCUUGAACUAAAGUAACCUCCAUUCAGCCCCAGUAUUUUAUUCAAGGGAACGUUCUGGCUUAUUCGGAUCAUAUUUUGGCCCAGUCCAAAGCCUAACCUUCCUACUCUACCAGGGUUUUAAAGGGAUAAGAGAAACUUAUAACAGAGAAGAGAGUUGAGAAUACUCUGAGAAUAAAAUUUCACAUAGAAUAUCAUGUGUUGUAUUUUACUGUGUGCUAGGCACUGCACUCUAUAUUCUUUUUAAUUAUAUUAUUUAGUUCACUCAACAGUGCUAUUGAGUUAAAUAUAAACUCCAUUAAAAUACAAUUUUGACUGUUUUAAUCAAGGUUAUCAUGAACCCCUAGAAUAUUGCCUAACCAGGUGCUAAACAUAUGUGUUGAAUUAAUUAACUAGGUAUGUAUUACCACUCUCAAUUUAAAUGUGGAAACUGAGACUCACUCAGUUUAAGCCAACUGCUCCAAUUCUCAUAGGUUAUACAACUGAGCAGAAAUAUGAAUUCAUUAAGUAUUCCUCUGCACUUCCUGCAGUUGAUUGGACAAAAAGGCAAAUGCUAAUCUUUGAAAUCUCCAUUCUGAGGCUUUUUGUUAUAAAAAUGUCUGUGCCUCUUUCAAACCCAGAGAUUUGGCUGUGUCAGGAAACUUCGGUUUAGUGAUUUGAGAAAUCAUUUACGAUCACGAUCUCAUUCUCUUUUGCCAAGCCCUUCCCUGUACUGUAUUUAUAGCAAUAUGGGGGUGGCGGAGGAGAUGCCAUGAAAAAAUAGGAAAUAGGAUGAAGGAUGGGUUGGAGGUCCUCUUACCGAAUAAGUCAAGAAAGUGUCAAAGGCUAAAAUGUACUGGGAACUUAUUCACUGAAUCAUACCAAGUCAUUAAUUCCUAAUUGAUUUUUGUUGUCGUCAUUCUAGUUAAGGAUAAAUAAAAGCGCUAAACUAUUGAAAAGAUGUAAAGGAGAAAGCUUAGGGAAGAAAGGAGAGAGGAUGAAAAAGGGACAUUUAUAGGAAAACAAAAUGAGACUACUACCUGAAGAUUUUUUUUCUCUCAAAAAUUUGGGAACUUUCCAGUCACGAGAGGUUCAUGAGAAGUAUUUUAUAUACUGGAAAAUUGUACUUUUCACUUUUUUUCAAGUCCUUUCAGUCCCCAUUUCACAAAGGAACUAUGAAUAACUGUGUCUUAUUACAAAUAAUCCAUCAGAUGUGGAGCAGUUGAAGUUGAAGGGGUGCAGAGUUGAAGGCAACCUGACAUUUUGUGUUCUCUUCAUCCUUUCCUUAUUGCCAAGUGGUGCUGGUUGAGGCUUAUCAGAGCUUUUAAGUGUCCUGUGAGGAAUGAUAUGUGCUACUAGGUUUAGGAUACUUGUCUUUCAGGAUCUCAAAGGACAUUUGUUCUGAGGCGUUGAGACUCUUUUCUUCAUUGGGUAGCUAUAUUGGUACCUUGAUGUUGAGCUCCAAAGAUUAGAGCAGCGGUCGUUCAAAGGGUCCUUAGACUUGAAAAUGUGGGGGCUACUACUAUAUCACUCAAUCUGUUGACCUGUUUGUCAUCGUUUAUAGGGUGAGUGUAUCAUUGAGGACAUUUUUGGUUUGAGUCACAGAAAACCUGAGUUAAACUGGCUCAUGCAAUGAGGGAGUUUAUUGGUUUACAUAAAUGAAAAACAGUGGAAGGGCUAGCUACAAGUGUCAGUUGACCACCUUCUCUGUCUUGCCUUAUUUGCUUCCCUAUUGGCUUUAUUUUCAGAUAUGCUCUCUUUUCAUGGUCAUAAGCUGGAUAUAGCAGCUCUGGACCUUGUAUUCUCUGGGCUUUAAAUCACCUGGGAAGAGCAAGCCUCUUUUUCCUGGAAGUCAAUCAAAAUCUCAAACUUCAGCACUGGCUCUGAUUAGGUCACAUCCCUGUCUCUGAACUAGUAACAGAUACACUGUUUAGCUUAGCCCUGGGCAACCUCCAUGGAGUCAGCAAAUGGGUCUCAGCCAACCUUCACAGACAGAGAUGAAAGCGUGUUUCCUUGCAUGGAUCCAUACUAAAGUAAAUGAAGCUUGAGUGACCAAAGAAGAGUACAUGUUCAUUAGAGCAAAAUUAUAUAUAAGAAGUAGAGGGACUUGAAAAGGAAAGGAAACCAUGAUAGAGAGAAGGAAAGAAGGGCUAAGGAAAAUAUCUCCAUAGACAUGAUCUGUACUUAGAUACAUGUUUACAGUUUAUAAGUAGAUCUUUUUUUUUUAUUACGUAUGUGGAAGAACCUGAGACUGUAUUUCAUGUAAAAAACUAUACUUACUAUAGUUUACUUUUAAAAAAUAUUAACAAAAUACUUUAAAAGAGGGACAGUGAGAAUAAAAAAUAAGAAUAAAUGGUUUUGAGUUUCAUUAUUACCAGGCCCUAUUCAAAUUGUAUUUCUAUCAUACCCAAUAAUAUAUAGAAAAUAUAGAAGUAUCUCUUGUCCCAGCUAUGAAGCUUUAUCUCCAAAAUGGAAACAUUUACAGUCCAUGUUUUAAUAUUGAAUAUUUUUUUUUUCCAAUCAGGCAUUUGGUGAUUGAGCUAUGUUUGAAAGGUCAAACCAACUCCUUCAUGAACUUUUGCUAUCUACAUUUGUACCUACACGCUUGAGAUUUAGUUAACCUAAGCUUUCAAUCCAUAUGCUGAUAAACUUGGCAUUUGUGCACUAAAUCCACCCUACCAACUUUAAGACCCUUAAUCAGCCAAAUUACCUUCCAAGUUGAUUGAUUCCCUGGAACAUCAACUAACAGUGUUGUAAAUAAGGGAGAGAGGUAACAAGGGCGGGGGGAGGUGGCAGUGGCAGAUACGUGAAGUGAAGGGAAAGACAAAGUCACCUACAUAGAGCAGCCUGUGAUGGGCUAGAAAGUGUGGGUUUGGGCACAAUUGUGUAGAACAUUUGUCUCCUUAAAAUGUUGUGUUUGAAACUACUGGGAGUGUUCCCUCAUAUGCUUGGGAAAGCUUGUCAUCUUUAUGUUUGGACUUUGCAAUAACAGACUGUCAGACUGCUGUUUUUGGAGCUGGUAUUCAGAAUAUAGUGAAAAUUGAAAGUGAGAUUGAUAACCCAAUCCUUCUAAUCACCUUCCAGAUGAACACGUAGAAUCCAGAGUCUAGUGCGUUUCUUAAGGUGUUGCUUUUCACUAGGCUGACCUCCAGAAGGAGAUGGCACAUCCCUGCAGGGCUGGAUGCAUCUCCAAGGCCAUUCAGGCAGAACAAGUAGUAUUUCCAUGGAAACCUUGCAUAUGCUCAUGUGUGCAUAGCCCCACCUGGCAUUUGUCCUUCCAGUGACCAAGCCAAAUGAGGCAAUUUGUGCUCCGGCCACUGGAAGCAGGGCUUGCUUCAUUAACACCACAUCAUGCUAGCGGGAUUAUAGAGAAAGGGGUAUUGGUUUCCUUUAGGGAAUGUGAUUUUCCGCUGAGUCCUUGCCAAAGGUCACACUGACAAUGUUUUGAGACAAGCUGGGCCAUACCCUUCAUAUAACUGCUGUGUGUUUUGUGGCCAGAGUUCUUUUUUGUAAACAAAAUCUAAUAUAGCAAGGGCUUACUUACCUUGGAAGAGGGGGAUGCUAUUUACUCAAGGUAGGAAAUUGGCAGUAUAUUAUCAGAGGGUAUUUUCUGAGCAAAUAUUUAAUCAGGACCUCUCCUAUUUGUCUUUUUUGGCCCGAGGAUGUUCUGUGAAAUGCAAUGCAGUUCCACUCUUAUGUUCAUGAUUUACUCAGAGCUUUGCCACAAGCUGUUGUGUAUGCAAAAGAAAGUUCAGUAUUUCUAAUUAUAUUGUGUACCUAGUCUAUUAUCUGAUAUUCCUCUGAAUUGCCAAAUAAAUUUUUAUCAACAUUUCCCAUUGCCAAAUAUCAAGAUCCUGUGAAUUCAUAUUUUGUUAAGUUUUUCAAAGGAUAUCAUGAGUGUAAUAUAAAUAUAGUCACAUAAUCUUACACAGUCUUGCCUUUCUAUGCACAUCAAUGAACCUACCAAAUCCAAUCUAGUUGUGAUUUUUAUAUUUUUCAGUAGCCUGAACAUUUGUUUUUGACAAAUACUCAGGAAUGUUGUCACUUUGCUGAAAUGUGUUUAGUUAACUCAGGUGACAUAUGAAUGGCAUUGAGCAAAAAUAUUAGUGACAUGUAGUUUUAAUGUUCUUUUUCUUUGCAGAGGUCACAUGAAAGUGAGAAUUAAAAUGUUCCCUUUCCUUCUGCAUUGUGUUCUUAUUCUACUUCUUAAUCUUAGUUGAAGAAAUACAUUGUCUGGAUCUCUAAGUUUUGCUGCCGGACAGUGGAAGGAAUGCCUCACACAAUUAUCAUGAUGGGGUGGACAGCACAUAUGGUGACGAUGGUCACUUUGGUGCUAUUGUUCCUGGGAAUACUGAAGUCGUGUUCCAGUAUACAUUCUGAAUAGGUGGCAGCACAGUUCUUUCCCACUCUUGUCCAUCACGUCGUGUAAUGCAAACCACAGGGUAAUUAUGAGAAUUUGUUUUGAGGGUUGGUGACAUAAACAACUACAGUUAACCUCUCACCCAUAAACACGUGGGAAGGUGUGUGAUGCUCCCACCAAGCAUAAAGGGAGAUAUCACUCUACCUGUUUCCAGGAACAUCAUUUAGUGGGAGAAAAGUCUUGACUUCGGGAGUCAGAAACUCCAGUGUCAGAAUUUCACUACUACUUUCCAACUGUGGGAAAUUGGUCAACUUUGCGGACCUUCUUCAUUGUUGUCUUGGGAGAAAUAAGGAGAUGUCUAUAAAAAGAGGUAUGACUGAUCAUUAGCUGUUGAAUCAGUAUGACUCUUUUUCCACUAUACUAUGAUCUUGCUAGGGCAAUAACUAUAUCUUUACCACUUCCAUCUCCCAAACUUACUACAUUUCCUGAAACAUAGAAUACAUUCCAUAAAUGGUCAUCGAAUGAAUGAGUGAAUGCUAACAUUUAACAACUGCAGACAGUCACACCAGAGAUUGAAAUUAAAAACAAACCAAGCCCAUAACAAUAGUCCAAAAGCCUAGAUCACCUUAUUUGGCCCAGUUGUGACAAAGAAGAUACAACUAAGCUUGAGGAGCCCUUCUAACAGUUGACAAUAUAGCUUUGAAACUUCUGUCAUAGAUACUAAGCAAUGUAAUCUUUGAUUAUUAAAAAUAGUGGUUUUAAGAAGUUCCCCUUGUGGCUCAGGAGUAACAAACCCAGCUAGUACCCAUGAGGAUGCUCAGUGGGUUAAGUACCAGGCAUUGCUUUGGCUGUGGUGUAGGCCUGCAGUUACAGCUCCAAUUCAACCCCUAGCCUGGGAACUUCCAUAUGCCACAGGUGUGGCCCUAAAAAGCAAAAGCAGGACAAAAAAAAAAAAAAAA